ensembl:rRNA 5S_rRNA 5S ribosomal RNA
GCCGGUAGCGAGCUCUCUGCAACUGUCACAUGGCCGCCCUGUAAAGCCAAGCAGGGCUGCGCCUGGUCAGUACCUAGAUGGGAGACCACAUGGGAAAGCUAGGUUACUGCCGGAG